rnacentral:lncRNA from 1 species
CUUGAGCUGAUCUGCAGUGACAUGCCCACCACCACCUCAGACCUCUACAGCUUCUGCAUCCUGACCCAGGAGGUCUUCACUGAGAAACUGUACUGUGAACUGGCUCACAGAGCCAAGACCACACCCAGGCCUGUGCCCCCUGUGAUGUCCCCAGGCCUCAUCCCAUCCCAGGCACCCAGUACUGAGCUGACUAGAGGAGAUCUCUUCUCCAGCCUGCAGAAGAUGGACCUGCUGGAGGAGAUCAUAGCAGAGCUACAAAAAGGAUGUCAGCUUGGAGAAAAGCCCAGCCUGAGCCCCAUUCCUGACCUAGACUCCCAGGGUGCCCAUGGUUCCCUCUCUGCAGAUACCACCUCUCAGAGGCUCCCAGGAGUAACUCCUGCCUUGGUGCCUCUCCAAAAGGAAAUAGAAUGA